rnacentral:rRNA from 1 species
GAGUUUGAUUCUGGCUCACGACGAACGCUAGCGGCAGGCCUAAUACAUGCAAGUCGAGGGGUAACAUGACGCUUCGGUGUUGAUGACGACCGGCGCACGGGUGCGUAACGCGUAUGCAAUCUACCUACAGCAGAGGGAUAGCCCGUGGAAACAUGGAUUAAUACCUCAUAAUACAGGGGGCCCGCAUGGGCAUAUUGUUAAAGCUUUAUUGUGGCUGUAGAUGGGCAUGCGUCCCAUUAGCUAGUUGGUACGGUAACGGCGUACCAAGGCGAUGAUGGGUAGGGGUUCUGAGAGGAUGAUCCCCCACACUGGUACUGAGAUACGGACCAGACUCCUACGGG